GUCUGUAGUAUCAGUCGAUUGUUCUACAGCGGACUGGAGGCGCGGUAGUAGUUGCCGCAAGCACUAGCGGCUCCAGAGUAACCAUGCGCGGCUGUAGCUCCGGGUUUCAGAGGCAGGCGAGAGAGAGGCGCCUCUGAAAGGCACUAAUUGCUCUGCUCCAGAAAGAGAAGCAAGGAAGGACGCAAGGAGAGGAGAGAAGAGGGGGUGGGGGCGUGUACAUUUGUCACAGAGACCGGGGCUCUCUCUUUGAGCUGCUAAGAGGGUCAAAGAGCCAACAAGAGCCGAGGAGGAAGAGGGGGGCUGUGGUGGAAUUGGAGAGAGUGGGACGGUAGGAUGGGGAGAGUAGUGGGGAGGGGGAGCGUAAGAAGCCCCCUAGUGCUUCAGCUUUGGUGGUGGAGACCUGACGAAUAAAAUAACAAAAGCAAAAAGGAGACAAUAACGCAACAAAAACCAAGGCAGUAUUUAACCAAGGGGGUGGCGCAGAGGACUGGAGAAUUCAUCCGGGCAAGAAGGGGGUGGUUUUCACAGAGAGCAGUGUCUGCGUACAGUGCCGCGCACCAAGACGCAGUUUGGAGCCCGGAUCUCCUUUUCUUUUCCUCUUUCUGUGACGCUGGGAGCGUGGCUACACAGCCAGCCUCCCCCCCGUCCCCCCCAAAUGCAGGCUCCUGUGUGUGGCCAUGCUUCUCCGCUGAGGACCCAAAAGCAUGCUGGAUGUCACCCAGCUCCUCACACGCCUUAGGGUGGGCUGCCUCUGUCUCUCUCUCCCCCUCUGCAGAUAAGUGCCAGCAGCACCCUUGCCAGGUUGGGCGAGCGUCAUGGCCAUGGGCCCAACGGUCAUUAGUAUUGAGGAGGUGCGGGCGCUAGAGAGCAAGGAGGAGCAGGAGGAGUCCAUCUUGGCCCUGCUGGGAAUCGUUGGCACCUUCCUUAACCUCUUCGUCAUUGUCUUUGUUUACAUCUACACCGUUGUGUGAGCCAGAGUGGGAGUGAUCCCCCAAACGACAAGGCACAAACCAAGCUUCCAUCUAACCCCAACAAACGUAUACUGGAUUGUACAUGCCAAGCUCCUCCUCCCUCUAACUAGGUAUUAGUUAUAAAAAAGGUGCAAACGGCAAGAUAUUAAAACAGGAGGGGGGAGCAGUUUCCUCACACAGAGAUUGAGGGUGGACAGUUCCGUGGGAGGUGGCGUCUCACAGCCAUGAACCAGAGAGAUAAUAGUGAGCUGGUGGAGACAUCAGGACCAUGGCUGUGCUGGAUCCAGGAGGGGGCGAUAGACAGGGUUGGGCUGCAGGCCAGCACAGCCUGGGGGGAACUAACUUCACCUUGGACUCAUUAGAAUGAGGGAAACGGACAGUGUUACCGACCAAUCUCCUUUGUCAAGUGGAUUAAAAAAACAGACAAAGGGAUAUUGACGUCACUG
rnacentral:lncRNA from 1 species